UGGUAUCCAUAACUUCAAUGUGAAUUCUCCCCUUACUGGAGAUUGAAAUUGAUUUUCCAGAGAAAUGGCUUCGGAAGAUUCUAAGCCGGUGAAGAAAGAGGAGGAGUCCAACAACAAGAGUUCCGUUUCCAAAAAGGUCGCAAAAGUUAAGAAAGAAGAGGUCGAAUCCGUGAAGAAGAAACCUAAAGCCGUGCCCGUCAAGAAGGAACCUAAAGUCAAGAAGGAAAUCGAAGACGACGACGACGACCUUCCCCUCGCCAGAAGGACCUCCAACUCCAAGGAAGUGAAUAAAAAGAAGAAGACAAAGGAGAAAGUAAAGGAGAAGGAGAAGAAGAAAGAGAGAAAGGUUUAUGAUUUACCUGGCCAGAAACGUGAUCCACCGGAGGAGAAAGAUCCUCUUCGGAUUUUCUACGAGAGUUUAUACGAGCAAAUUCCCAACAGCGAAAUGUCACAAAUCUGGCUGAUGGAAUCGGGGUUGCUGCCUAAGGAAAUUGCAAAAGAAGUAUUUCAGAAGAAGCAAAAGAAAUGUCCGCAGAAGCUGUCUUCUCCAGUUAAGGUGGUAUCGGCUGCGAAGAGGAGCACCAAGAGUAUCACCAAAUCUGUGACAGUUAAGAAGAAAAACCCAACUUCCCCUUUGUCUUCUCUUAAAAAGAGUACUACGAACUCCACGUCGAAGCAGUCUAACAAGAGGAAGUCUAAGGCUCUAAGCUCAGAAGAUGACGAUGUCACCGAUUCUGAUGAUGAAUUUAUUAUGUCGACCUUAUCAAAGAGGAGAAAAAUGGCUUAAUUAUGCCCAUCUGUGACAACAUUUUUAUUUUGACAUGAUGUUAUUUAACUUGUGGAAUGUUAACCAGUCUGCUUCAAUACUCACAUCUCAACUCUCACUCUGACACACGUCUGUGUCUUGUCUGAUGUAUUACUUUUUCUUUGUGGAUUUGGAUAGGAUGAGGAAGAGAAAGAUAAGGGGGGUAAAUUAUGCACAACUAUGGUGGAUAGCUGCAUUCACUUGCACGCUUGGAGUUUCAUUAGCAGAGAAAUCGAGAUCGGUGAUUGCUUUUUGAUGUGUAACUCUGAGGAUUUGAGGCGUUUGAGUUUAAGGAUUGUGGGAUGUUAUCAGAGAUGAGAGCUUAUUAUAAGAGUUUAAGGAAAGAGAAGGUUGGAGGGAAUCAGAAUGUUACAAGUUACAUUUGCAAAUUCAAUUUUAUUCAGGUAGCGGGUUAUUACAUUCUACCCGA